CCCUUAGAUGUCCUGGGCUGCACGCGCGCUACACUGAUGCGCUCAACGAGUUUACGAUCUUGCCUGAAAUGGCUGGGUAAUCUUUUUAAAACGCAUCGUGAUGGGGAUCGAUCAUUGCAAUUAUUGAUCGUGAACGAGGAAUUCCUAGUAAGUGCAAGUCAUCAGCUUGCGCUGAUUACGUCCCUGCCCUUUGUACACACCGCCCGUCGCUACUACCGAUUGAAUGGUUUAGUGAGAUCUCUGGAUUGACGCUGGCUAGGGGGCGACCCUUGGCCAGACUGUUGAGAAACUGCUCAAACUUGAUCAUUUAGAGGAAGUAAAAGUCGUAACA
rnacentral:rRNA from 1 species